GACGAACGCUGGCGGCGUGCUUAACACAUGCAAGUCGAACGGAAAGGCCCUGCUUUUGUGGGGUGCUCGAGUGGCGAACGGGUGAGUAACACGUGAGUAACCUGCCCUUGACUUUGGGAUAACUUCAGGAAACUGGGGCUAAUACCGGAUAGGAGCUCCUGCUGCAUGGUGGGGGUUGGAAAGUUUCGGCGGUUGGGGAUGGACUCGCGGCUUAUCAGCUUGUUGGUGGGGUAGUGGCUUACCAAGGCUUUGACGGGUAGCCGGCCUGAGAGGGUGACCGGCCACAUUGGGACUGAGAUACGGCCCAGACUCCUACGGGAGGCAGCAGGGGGGAAUAUUGCACAAUGGGCGGAAGCCUGAUGCAGCAACGCCGCGUGCGGGAUGACGGGCUUUGGGGUGGAAACCGCUUUCGCCUGGGACGAAGCGUGAGUGACGGUAAUGGGUAAAGAAGCACCGGCUAACUACGUG
rnacentral:rRNA from 1 species